rnacentral:lncRNA from 10 species
AGCAAACACACAUGGCUCCGGCGGGGGACAGCCCUUCCUCAUGUUGCUGUGGAAAGUGGAGCUUCUCAAAAUGAAUCAGCAGAGCCUGAACCCCAGGUGUGUGAUUUCCCAGCUUCCCUUGGAGAAAUGUCACUGCCAUGAUUGUGUUACAGAGGACCUCCAUCUAGCCAGCACGCUCACACUCCUUCCCUGGAUCGGUUUGAUGAAGCAGGCCUCCAUGUUGUAAACUGUCUCAUGGAGAGGCCCAACUGGCAAGGAACUGAGGAAAGCCUCUGGCCAACAGCCAGUGAGGAGCUGAAUCCUGCCAACAACACUGAGAAAGUUUGGAAGUGGAUCCUGCCCCAGUUGAACCUUCAGAUGGCUGUGGUCUCAGCUGACAUCUUGAUUGUAGCUUUGUAAGAGACUUUGACCCAGAGGACUCAGAGAUGGAUAAGCUGAGGAUUGGAGAGGUGAGGUCAGUGCAGCAGUCCCACAGCACACCAGAGCUGGAUUUGAACCCAGGUGCAUUUGCAUGGCUUCUGGCUCCUCUGUGGACUGACAGCCUGUGUGGGCCAGCGCUUCCCUUCUCUGGGACUCAAUUCUUCCACUUAUAAAAUGAGGGGGUUGGACCAGAUGACUUUUUAAGAGUCUUCCCAUCCCUGGUAUUCCCUGAGUCGCCAUCUUGGAAAUUCUGACCUCAUUCCUGCUUUGUGCAGCUGUUUAUUUGCUUGUCUCUCUUACACUGUGGAGCUGUGGAGCAGUUCAGGCCAGUCUUGCUGGGAUAAAGGCAUAGCUUCCUCUGUGGCCUCUGGGUUUGAGAAGGUCUCCGAGAAUCCUCACUCCACAGAGGACAUAGCAUCUUUUUCGGAGCCCUCCCACUGGCUCGAGAGGGAACUUGUAAUUUCGUUUUAUUUUUGGUUUUCUCUCUCUUGCUCUUUUUACUGGAGUAAGAUAUACAUAAUAUAAAACUUACCAUUUAUCUAUUUUCAAGCAUCCAGUUCAGUGGCAUUAAGUACAUUCACAUUAUUAUGUAACCAUCACCAUGAUCCAUCUGAGAACAUUUUCAUUAUCCCAAAUGGAAACUCUGUACCAUAAAACAGUAUCAUCCAUUCCUCUCUCCCCCCAGCCCCUGGUUGUGAUGUGUUUUUAUAGCAAAGGC